UACGUAGGGGGCAAGCGUUGUCCGGAAUCAUUGGGCGUAAAGAGCGUGUAGGCGGCUCGGUAAGUCCGCUGUGAAAGUCCAGGGCUCAACCCUGGAAUGCCGGUGGAAACUGCCUGGCUAGAGUCCGGAAGAGGAGAGUGGAAUUCCUGGUGUAGCGGUGAAAUGCGCAGAUAUCAGGAAGAACACCCGUGGCUAAGGCGGCUCACUGGUCCGGUACUGACGCUGAGGUGCGAAAGCGUGGGGAGCGAACAGG
rnacentral:rRNA from 1 species